UGCUUAAACUACCUGAUUUAGCCUUAGGGGCCGUUAUAUAAAUUUUUACUAUGGCAGUAUCCUCUUAAUGGGUAUCCCAGGUAGUUUAAAUUUCAGUUACGCUCGUGCUGGGAUGCCGGGUGUAUUUUUACUGUAGCGUUCAGACUGUUUCGGACUGUUGGGUGCCGUCGAGGUUGACAGUGGACCCGUAUCGCCUAUUGGGCUUCGAAUUGUGCCGAGGGCACGUUACUUGUUGGU
rnacentral:lncRNA from 1 species